AGCGAGCAACGCUCGGUGUUUUACGGGCUUGGAGGAGAGAGGGGCAGCGGGGACAGGCGCCCCGCCGGGGUCCCCCCGCCGCCCCGCACACUCAGGCCGGGGGAGAACGCGCGGCUGUGGGCUGCUGGAGCAGGCUUCGUUAUUACUCUAAUUAAUUAUUAUUAUUAUUGUUAUCGUCAUCACCGUCGUCGUUAUUUAGGCUUCCACCCGUCGGAGGUUCCCCGAAGAAAGAGCACGGAGGGUCAGGAUUAAGCAGGAGCUCCCCAGCCCCAGGCUGGCAUCACCGAGGAGUUCCAUCCAUUCAGGGAACGGGAGGCGGUGGGAGUUGAGCGGCCCCUCGGGACCGCGGCUGAGCUGCUGCUCUCCCCGCCGGCCCGGGCGUAAGAAGGGCUGGGGACUGCCCGUGAGCCGUGUUCGUCUGCUGCUGGGAGUUUGUGAGACCCCCGGCUUUUGCGUGUAAAUCAGUUUCCACUCGUCCUAACUGCAGAGAAAGAUCUUUGAGACCAGAGCUCGAGGACAAAACCCCAAAGCCCAUCUUGACCCAUCCUGCAAUCAGCACACACAAUUUGCAGAAGCAUUUGUAUCCUAAGAUGAUUACUGAAAAUGACAUUAAAAAAAGGAAUGUGAAAAUCACUGGUAAGCAAUCCAUGGUAUUGCUUUUCAAUUCUCACUAUGAUUGCAUGGGAAUGUAUUUCUCAGGACUCAUUAGAUCAGGGAUUUUGGCUUGGAGCUGUAUUUGACAUGGAGCUUGAUAAAUUGGUCAAGCUGCUUGGAUCGAUAAUUGUCAUCAUUUGAACAGAAAAUUAACAUGAAAAUAUUUGUUUGCAGACACCCAGAGUCAAGUAACUGGAGGAUUCUGUGGAUACAACCACACAAUGUAAAACAGAAACCCAUUCAAAUACUGUUCAUCAUUUCUUUUAAUGCACUUUUAACAUUACCUUCAACUUUCAAACCCAAAGCUAGCAGAUUUUCCCGUUAGUCCCAGGGGAAAGUACUCAGCUUUUGGAUGUACCUAGUUCAAAUAUGCCAGAUCUCUCCAAUUUCCUACUUACAUGUUUUCUAAGAAAAUCUCCCGUGACAAUUGCUUGUCAGAAAAUGUGAAUGAGUCAUAACUCCUAAGCCCUAUGAAACAAUUUACAGGGAUUUAGAAAUAGGCAGGGAUUAUCACAGUUCAUACACAAAAUUAAUACCACCUUUUUUGAAUGAUAGCAGCAUUCGUUCAAACAAUAGUCUCGCUUUGCUUUGAAAACUAUGUAGCUCUUCAUCCCAGUUUUAGCAGUCAUGUUUCUUGUACAAAAAUGCCAGCAAGGAUAUUAAUAGCCUCCUCAAUUAUUAAAAAAAAAUAAGAUGCUCCCUAUCCCAUAUGAAAUUCUAGGUGCUCUGUGUUUCUAGUAAGGAUGGUAUUUCAGUUUACUGUGUUUAUGAGGAUGGUCAAACACUGAAUGCAAAACUCAGUGGGUCUAUACCAUUUGAAUAGAAAUUAUUCAAAAGUUAGAUUAUUAGACCUAAUUUUCUUCUUUAUGCAGGAAAACCAAGCAGCUGUACUUCAAAAAGGCAUGCAUUUAGAUCCAUAAUGGGAAAGGUACUGAAAUGGAAACAAAUAGAUGGAAGUGAUUGCUUUAAUUUCCAAAUUUUACAUACAAAGAUUUAAAUGCAAUUUCUACAGGAUGCCCAGCAAGCAAAACCCUUUAGAGCUUUGAGUCUCUCAGACAGCACUUUUAGAGAUGUCUGCUGUGUAGUUUUUCUUGUGUCCUAGCAGAUUUUCAUCUGAUGUUCCUAAUGAGAUUUCUUUAAAUACAUGAAAAUAACACUUACUCAGUUUUCCUGAGCUACAGCAACGUCUGUGUUUCCUACAAUGAUAGCCUUUUCAAUUUCUAGUACCAAGACUUUGGCAGUAAGGCAAGGUAUGUCCCUUCAUUUGGGUGAAAUGCUGACCUUGAAAGUGGAGUUCUGUCAUUGAUUUCAGUAGGUCAAAGAUUUCCCUGCAUCUGGUAUAAAAUCAAGGGCAUUUUUCAUGACAAGUAAAUAUAUGGUAAUGGCACAAAGUUUCUAAAUUCAGAACGGAAUUGCCAUUAACCGUGACAAAACCAUGUUGCACAAAAGCUUUCCAUUCACUAAGAUUUCUGAAGUAUUGCUUUGAUCUUGUGGUUCAUAAAGUUUUCAAGAUUGGUUUAAUACCUUUGGUGUUUAUAAGGUAUUUAUCUAAACUUUUUAUAUUCAUGUGAUACACUGAAAUUCUUAAGCCAUUUAUCAGCCUUUUAAUCAGUAAAUUAUAUGAUGAUAAAAACCCCCUCCCAUAUACAUGUUAUCAUCCUGCCUUCCUUAUAGACUGUUGUUGCAUUUCAAUAAUUUAACUCAAAUAAACAGUCUCUGAAAAGGAAAAGUUCCAAUUACCAGUGAGAAAAAAUGGUUUCAGCUUCCAAAGUGUAUUCACAGCAUAGGAGUUGAAAAGGGUUUUGUUUUAUGGGUUUUGUUUGUUUUAAUGUGGAUCUCCAGAAAGUUGCAGAACCGCAUCUCUUUCAAAAGUUUCUGAUGAACACUAGGAUCCGGGUUCUCACAUGUGAAACCUCUAUGUUUAUGUGGGAUUUUGUUUGGUUGUUUUGGGGGUUGUUUUCAAUCUAGGAAAAGUAUAAUUUGAGCAAAUUCUUGCCCUAUAUUAUGCUAGUAUAAUACUGCUUUGGACUUCAGUGAGGAAGAACCUCAACCUUAUCCCAAGUAGGUUGAUAUAAGGGCAUUCUACCCCCAGAACUAUUGCUAAGGUAUUAAAAUAAUUAACUUUUUUUCUUGCCUUCUUUCUUAAGUUGCUGGAUUUUGCUCCUGCCCUGCCACCUAGCAGCCUGCCUUUGGAAAACAAAACCCAAUGUCUUCUUAAAAUUCUGUAAGGAAACUUAUUCAGACAGAAGAUGUUUACCUCUUGUCUAAGGACACUCAGAAAUUCCAAAUGCUUGACAUACCCUCCAAAAUUAAUUACUGGAAAGGAUAUAAAACAUGACAAAACAACACAUCUCUAGAUCACCUUUCUGAGUUGUUAGCACAUGAACAUUAGAUGACUGAAUCAUUAGAUUCCCCCCCCCCCUCCUUUUUUCCCUCUCUACAGUAUUAGAUUUUUUUGCUCAUUGGAAAUGCGGCAUGAAAAUGGAAAACAACAUGAACUUGUGCCCACAUUAAUUCUGUUUUGUCUUUUUGUGUUUGCUUUUGUUACAAGCAGCAAGGCGCGUAGCUCACUCAAAAUCAAUAGUGGCAUGAACUCAUUUGGUCUCUCCCAGGACAGCAGAAUUUUCCAGCUGGUCAGAAGGACCUUCAUGACGUCGGCUGGCAAAACCUUGCUGGUCUUUAGAGUUGUGUUUGACGUGGCACAACGGAAUGCUAACCUGACCUCAUCAGCUCAGAUACCUCCCUGUCCUUUGGGAAAACAGAGUUGUGCAAUGUAGCCUGUUCUAAUAACUCCUGGCAAAUGCAGGCUAACCUUUUCGGUCCAGCAGCCACAGCUGGUGAAGCAGAAGGACUCCCUUCAGUUUGAAAAUACUUCAAGAACAAGUCACACUGUAAGGAGUUCAAAAACAAUUCAGUUGAAAGAAGACACUUUGUUUUCAAAAUAAAGAUGUUCUUGAAGAAGUGGUGCCAUUCACACCCGGCUCUGUCUCCCAUCCAAGAAACAGAAGUGCAUGAGCGCAGUUAAAGUGAACAGAAAGUUUCCACUGCUCUACGUUACUCUCUUCCCAACAGCAUUAUCCUGGCAAAUGAAGAAAAAAUGGCAUUUCUUAUUUCUCCCAUGGGAAGGAUGCAUUCACUCCCCAACAGAAAUCUCUUCCUUCUCACUCCAAGAGCAAAAAGUUUACCUUGGCCAAAUGCAGAGUAUUUUAUUUAACUGUGAAGCCUGUCUUACUUUAAAAUUUGAAGAUUAAUGACUCUGUGCAACAUUCUAUGUCUCUUUCCUGCCAUAUGUUCAGGGGGGUGUCUUAUCACUAUGGUUAACAUCUGAAUCCAUGUAGUCAUCAUUUCUUGAUUCAUGUUACAGAACAGGAAGACCCAUAAAGUUUUGUCACUUGGCUGCAACAAGAUGCAAAUUGCCUUAUUUUUCACAUUUAAGUGGGACAGAUAAAAGCAGUGAGGUGGUCACCUUUCAGUAUGUUCUGCAGAGAGCUCCAGGCAACCAGUGAAGUCUGAAAGUUUUUUUUUGAGAUAUCAUGUCUUUACACUGAUCCAGUUUUUGCUGUUUGCUUGAUUUAAUGGAUGAUGCAGUUUCUUGUCUGGAUUUUUUGCCUAAAACAAAAAUCUGGGUAUGUAGAAAGGUUUGCCUGUUCCUUAAUGUGUUCCCAAACAAAGCAGCAACUUUAGGAAGAAUACAAAGACCUCAGAGUCAUUCUGGACAAAAAAACCACCUAAAACCCCAGAAGCAGACUAGAACAGUCUGCUUGCAUAACAACUGUGCACGCCUCCCAGGAAAGGUGCCUGGGAGACUUCCAGUCUUAAAAAUCAUGGGGACCAGAGGAAAAAGAUAACCUCUUGUGUGUAGUUAUGGCUUCAACUCACAUACACAUACACAGUUCUAUGUUUAUACUCUUAUCUGUGCUCCUGGGUUCUCAUAUACUCUCAUGUGUUUAUAGUCAUAUGUAUGUGUGUAUUUACAUUAACUUGAUGGUUAACCUUCACAUAGCCUUUUAAAUACCUCCUGAACAAGACUUGCUUCCAUUGAUCCUAUAAGCCAGUUUAACAUUGGCACAGCUGGAAGGUGAGGGCAGAGAAAAUAUUUUUUGUGUACAUCUAGACUGAAACUUUGAAUCUUGCUCAAAUGAAUGAAAUGUACAAUUCUAAUUUUAAACUUUUGAUGAUGCCACACUGGUCCCUAAACAUUUAAAUCCUGCUGAAAAUACUACUCUUACCAGGGAACGUGGUUUUGGUUUGCUUGUGGGUUUGGGUCUUUUUUUUAAUCUUUGGUUAUUUUAAAUUACUACACAGUAUCUGUUGCUUGAUUUCAAAGAUAAUAUUAGAGAGAAAUCAUGAAUCCAGGCACUCCAGUAACCACUUUUUGAGAACCUGUGUGCAGGCAGGGUGGCUGCUCACCGCCCAGUCAGAGAAACAGGCUUUCAGCUGGCUGAGAGAACAGGCUCCUCUCCCUGUGGCUUUCUUCCUCUUCUGGCACCAUCUCCAGCUUCUCUGUGCUUGAAACCAGUCACCACAUGACUCUGAUGUUGCAUUGCAAAAGGGUGAUUGAAAUUUUACUGUGCUAAACUUGCAGGGCCAAACUUUGGUAUUCAUCCUCAGUGGAAACAGCUACAGCCAGCCCCACACAAGAUUGGUGGGAAGUGCAGCACAGGACCUUUUAUGAUUUGGGGGUGUCACAGUGUGGGAACCUAGAAUGCAGAGAAUAUUUCUCUGCCUGUUUUGAAAGGUUUUACCCCCCUGGACAGUACUGGUUUUGACCUUUGUCCAUGGGAAAAUUUGCCUAGCCUCUGGGAAGAAUUUGAAUCUACAAUGGUGUGAAUUAGGUGAUAGAAUACUAUGUGAGAUUAUCA